GUUUUAGUGGAACGCUCUGGGAAGUGCGAACGUAGAGGGUGAUAUUCCCGUACACGAAAGGGCACACAUAAUGAUGACGAGUAGGGCGAGGCACGUGAAACCUUGUCUGAAUAUGGGGGGACCAUCCUCCAAGGCUAAAUACUCCUGACUGACCGAUAGUGAACCAGUACCGUGAGGGAAAGGCGAAAAGAACCCCUGUGAGGGGAGUGAAAUAGAUCCUGAAACCGCAUGCAUACAAGCAGUGGGAGCACCUUCGUGGUGUGACUGCGUACCUUUUGUAUAAUGGGUCAGCGACUUAUAUUCAGUAGCGAGGUUAACCGUAUAGGGGAGCCGUAGAGAAAUCGAGUCUUAAUAGGGCGUUUAGUUGCUGGGUAUAGACCCGAAACCAGGCGAUCUAUCCAUGAGCAGGUUGAAGGUUGGGUAACACUAACUGGAGGACCGAACCCACUGUCGUUGAAAAGCCAGGGGAUGACUUGUGGAUAGGGGUGAAAGGCUAAUCAAGCCUGGUGAUAGCUGGUUCUCCCCGAAAGCUAUUUAGGUAGCGCCUCGGACGAAUACCAUAGGGGGUAGAGCACUGUUUCGGCUAGGGGGUCAUCCCGACUUACCAAACCGAUGCAAACUCCGAAUACCUAUGAGUACUAUCCGGGAGACAGACUGCGGGUGCUAACGUCCGUAGUCAAGAGGAAAACAAUCCAGACCGCCAGCUAAGGCCCCAAAAUCAUAGUUAAGUGGGAAACGAUGUGGGAAGGCAUAGACAGCUAGGAGGUUGGCUUAGAAGCAGCCACCCUUUAAAGAAAGCGUAAUAGCUCACUAGUCGAGUCGGCCUGCGCGGAAGAUGUAACGGGGCUAAAACUAUGUGCCGAAGCUGCGGAUGUAUACUUUGUAUACGUGGUAGGGGAGCGUUCUGUAAGCCGAUGAAGGUGUGUUGAGAAGCAUGCUGGAGGUAUCAGAAGUGCGAAUGCUGACGUGAGUAACGACAAAACGGGUGAAAAACCCGUUCGCCGAAAGACCAAGGGUUCCAGUCCAACGUUAAUCGGGGCUGGGUGAGUCGACCCCUAAGGCGAGGCCGAAAGGCGUAGUCGAUGGGAAAAUGGUUAAUAUUCCAUUACUUCUGUGUAAUGCGAUGAGAGGACGGAGAAGGCUAAAUCAGCCUGGCGUUGGUUGUCCAGGUGAAAGGAUGUAGGCAUGUAUCUUAGGCAAAUCCGGGGUACUCUAUGCUGAGAUCUGAUAGCAAGCUGUACUUGUACAGCGAAGUGGUUGAUGCCAUGCUUCCAGGAAAAGUCUCUAAGCUUCAGUUACACAGGAAUCGUACCCGAAACCGACACAGGUGGUCAGGUCGAGUAGACCAAGGCGCUUGAGAGAACUCUGCUGAAGGAACUAGGCAAAAUGGUACCGUAACUUCGGGAGAAGGUACGCUGUUGUUGGUGAUGGAACUCGCUUCCUGAGCUGACGACAGCCGCAGAAACCAGGCCGCUGCAACUGUUUAUUAAAAACAUAGCACUCUGCAAACACGAAAGUGGACGUAUAGGGUGUGAUGCCUGCCCGGUGCUGGAAGGUUAAUUGAUGGGGUUAGCGUAAGCGAAGCUCUUGAUCGAAGCCCCAGUAAACGGCGGCCGUAACUAUAACGGUCCUAAGGUAGCGAAAUUCCUUGUCGGGUAAGUUCCGACCUGCACGAAUGGCAUAAUGAUGGCGGCGCUGUCUCCAGCAGAGGCUCAGUGAAAUCGAAAUCGCUGUGAAGAUGCAGUGUACCCGCGGCUAGACGGAAAGACCCCGUGAACCUUUACUGCAGCUUGACACUGAACUUUGACCUUACUUGUGUAGGAUAGGUGGGAGGCUUUGAAGCUGGAACGCUAGUUCCAGUGGAGCCGUCCUUGAAAUACCACCCUGGUAAUGUUGAGGUUCUAACUCUGUCCCGUGAUCCGGGACGAGGACCGUGUCUGGUGGGUAGUUUGACUGGGGCGGUCUCCUCCUAAAGAGUAACGGAGGAGUACGAAGGUGCGCUCAGCGUGGUCGGAAAUCACGCGUAGAGUAUAAAGGCAAAAGCGCGCUUAACUGCGAGACCCACAAGUCGAGCAGGUACGAAAGUAGGUCUUAGUGAUCCGGUGGUUCUGUAUGGAAGGGCCAUCGCUCAACGGAUAAAAGGUACUCUGGGGAUAACAGGCUGAUACCGCCCAAGAGUUCAUAUCGACGGCGGUGUUUGGCACCUCGAUGUCGGCUCAUCUCAUCCUGGGGCUGAAGCAGGUCCCAAGGGUAUGGCUGUUCGCCAUUUAAAGAGGUACGCGAGCUGGGUUUAGAACGUCGUGAGACAGUUCGGUCCCUAUCUACCGUGGGCGCUGGAAAUUUGAGAGGAUCUGCUCCUAGUACGAGAGGACCAGAGUGGACGAACCUCUGGUGUACCGGUUGUGACGCCAGUCGCAUCGCCGGGUAGCUAUGUUCGGAAGGGAUAACCGCUGAAAGCAUCUAAGCGGGAAGCCUACCUCAAGAUAAGAUUUCCCUAGGACUUUAUGUCCUCUAAAGAGCCGUUCGAGACUAGGACGUUGAUAGGUUGGAUGUGGAAGCAUAGUGAUAUGUGAAGCUGACCAAUACUAAUUGCUCGUGAGGCUUGACUAU
rnacentral:rRNA from 1 species